rnacentral:rRNA from 1 species
UACGUAGGCAGCGAGCGUUGUUCGGAGUUACUGGGCGUAAAGGGUGUGUAGGCGGUUGUUUAAGUUUGGUGUGAAAUCUCCCGGCUCAACUGGGAGGGUGCGCCGAAUACUGAAUGACUAGAGUGCGGGAGAGGUGAGUGGAAUUCCUGGUGUAGCGGUGAAAUGCGUAGAUAUCGGGAGGAACACCAGUGGCGAAGGCGACUUCCUGGCCUGUUCUUGACGCUGAGGCGCGAAAGCUAGGGGAGCAAACGGG